UUUGAUUUUAAGUGGGUAUUUUGGUGAAAUGUGGCUAGAAAAUCAUGUUAUAUACUUAGUAUAAUCUUUAUUUAGUGUUGCAUGCUAGUUUUUCUUGGUGAAAACUCGAUUAAUGGGGCUGAAAUGGCUAUACAAGGACUGCAGGGCUGUGAGACAAUUGUUUGCUUGUCCAAUGGAUGUCUAGUUGAAAUUCUUGUUUUAAAACUGAAAUUUUUUGAAAAGUUUUGUUGAAUUUCAGAACUGUAUGUCCUCAUUUCAGUGUUUAUGAGAUUGCAUGUUAAUAUGGGAUGGAUUGAAUGAAAUUUAUUGGGGAAAAAUCCCUAACUUGGACCGAAUGUUUGCUGGAUUUCUUUCCAGCUUUGCUUAUGUUGAAACUUGGAUGGUUGGAUAGCUUUUAAAUGUUGAUUUUAGUGAAUUUCCUGACGGAAAUCCUAC
rnacentral:lncRNA from 1 species